GGAGAGAUGUCCGAGCGGUCGAUGGUGCAAUCUUGGAAAGGUUGUGUACGGCAACGUACCGGGGGUUCGAAUCCCCCUCUCUCCG
rnacentral:tRNA from 1 species